rnacentral:misc_RNA from 1 species
AAGUCGUAACAAGGUUUCCGUAGGUGAACCUGCGGAAGGAUCAUUACCGAGUUCAUGCCCUUACGGGUAGAUCUCCCACCCUUUGUAUACUAUACCCUUGUUGCUUUGGCGGGCCGCCUAGCUACUGGCUUCGGCUGGUAUGUGCCCGCCAGAGGACCCAAAACCCUGAAUUAUUAGUGUCGUCUGAGUAAAAUAUUUAAUAUUUAAAACUUUCAACAACGGAUCUCUUGGCUCUG